AAUGGUUUCUCACCGCUACCCAAUGAAACCUGACUUUGGACCUCUCUAGAUACUUCUACCAUCAGAUUGCUAUAAUUUGACUGUAUAUCUGGGAACUGUCCAGGCUCCUCUUGAACUAUAAAACUUCAAGUGGAAUAAUGUGCUAACUGUUGCGUCUGAAAGAGACCAUGUGGCCACAGCCAAGGUUCAAGAAGUGCUCCUUAUAAAAUGGAAGGAAACUGGGCAACUAAACCAAAAUGCAAAGUAAACACUAGCCCAUUUCAAAGAAAGAAAAAAAAAAGUCUUUUGACAACCCCAAACCACAAUUUAUGAGCUA
rnacentral:lncRNA from 1 species